AUUGAACGCUGGCGGCAUGCUUUACACAUGCAAGUCGAACGGUAACAGGGUGCUUGCACCGCUGACGAGUGGCGAACGGGUGAGUAAUACAUCGGAAUGUACCCAGUAAUGGGGGAUAACGCUUCGAAAGCAGUGCUAAUACCGCAUACGCACUGAGGGGGAAAGUGGGGGACCGCAAGGCCUCACGUUAUUGGAGCAGCCGAUGGCUGAUUAGCUAGUUGGUGAGGUAAAGGCUCACCAAGGCGACGAUCAGUAGCGGGUCUUAGAGGACGAUCCUCCAUACUGAAACUGAGACACGGUGCAGACUCCAACGGGAGGACACAGUGGGGAAGCGUGGAGAAUGGGCGAAAGCCUGAUCCAUCAAUGCCGCGUGCGUGAAGUGGGCCUUCGGGUUGUAAAGCGCGUUUGUCUGGGAGCAAAUCCUGGCCUCUAAUACAGGUCGGGGAUGAGAGUACCAGAAGAUUAAGGACCGGCUAACAGCGUGCAAGCCGCCGCCGUAACAC
rnacentral:rRNA from 1 species